AUGGCAGCCAUUUUGUGUCAGAUCACUAACCAUAGAACAUCAUGUAUCUUAACCCUAAUUUCCUGUGUGUGGUGUCUAUAUAUCCCAGAGUUCCCUGCUCAGAGGAACAGUAAUGAAGGGGAACCGGAGGUCAGGAAGAGCAGAGCGGCUGUCAUGGCCCCUGAGCCAAUCCCAGAGGAGCAGCUGGAGAUCUUGAAGACCAAAGUCAAGAAGACCGUCAGCGAGACAAGUCUGAUCGUCAUGGCCAUCCAGAAGAACGACUUCCUGAGUCGCCUUGACGAUGAGCAGAUCACCAUGAUGGUGGAGCUCCUGGUGGCCAUCGACUUCAAACCAGGAAAUGAUGUCAUCAAGGAGGGUAGUGAGGGAGACAGUAUGUACAUCGUUGCAGGUAUGUGUGAAUUUCUCUAAAACAUUGCUCGGUGUUGCUACUGUACGUCUGAUUAUUAUUCCCAAUUAAACAAUAACCCUCACCCCUUCUUCUCCACAUUCAGAGGGUGAGCUCUAUGUCAGUCAAGCAGGUCGUAACCUUCGAACCCUGACCUGUGGGGAUGUCUUUGGAGAGUUGGCUAUUCUGUAUAACUGCAAACGCACUGCCACAGUCAAAGGUAAGAUGCUUUAGAACUCGACUAUUGAGUGGUACAAAAUAACUAACUACGUGUAACUUCCUACUGUCUGUACUGUGCGUGUGCAGUGAAAUUAAUAUUGCUUGUUGUUAUGAAUAAAUUGUC
rnacentral:lncRNA from 13 species